CCCUCACUGUACUGUAAGUUGCUUUGGAUAAAGCAUCUGCUAAAUGGUUUAUA
rfam:Salmo salar isolate Sally breed double haploid chromosome ssa12, whole genome shotgun sequence.